rnacentral:rRNA from 1 species
UACGGAGGAUCCAAGCGUUAUCCGGAAUCAUUGGGUUUAAAGGGUCCGUAGGCGGCCCAGUAAGUCAGUGGUGAAAUCCCUCGGCUCAACCGGGGAACUGCGUGUGAUACUGGCGGGCUUGAAUUCGGGAGAGGAUGUGGAAUUCCAGGUGUAGCGGUGAAAUGCGUAGAUAUCUGGAGGAACACGGUGGCGAAGGCGACAUCCUGGACCGGUAUUGACGCUGAGGCGCGAAAGCCAGGGGAGCGAAACGGGG